AUUGAACGCUGGCGGCAGGCCUAACACAUGCAAGUCGAGCGGUAGCACAGAGAGCUUGCUCUCGGGUGACGAGCGGCGGACGGGUGAGUAAUGUCUGGGAAACUGCCUGAUGGAGGGGGAUAACUACUGGAAACGGUAGCUAAUACCGCAUAACGUCGCAAGACCAAAGUGGGGGACCUUCGGGCCUCAUGCCAUCAGAUGUGCCCAGAUGGGAUUAGCUAGUAGGUGGGGUAACGGCUCACCUAGGCGACGAUCCCUAGCUGGUCUGAGAGGAUGACCAGCCACACUGGAACUGAGACACGGUCCAGACUCCUACGGGAGGCAGCAGUGGGGAAUAUUGCACAAUGGGCGCAAGCCUGAUGCAGCCAUGCCGCGUGUGUGAAGAAGGCCUUCGGGUUGUAAAGCACUUUCAGCGGGGAGGAAGGCGAUAAGGUUAAUAACCUUGUCGAUUGACGUUACCCGCAGAAGAAGCACCGGCUAACUCCGUGCCAGCAGCCGCGGUAAUACGGAGGGUGCAAGCGUUAAUCGGAAUUACUGGGCGUAAAGCGCACGCAGGCGGUCUGUCAAGUCGGAUGUGAAAUCCCCGGGCUCAACCUGGGAACUGCAUUCGAAACUGGCAGGCUAGAGUCUUGUAGAGGGGGGUAGAAUUCCAGGUGUAGCGGUGAAAUGCGUAGAGAUCUGGAGGAAUACCGGUGGCGAAGGCGGCCCCCUGGACAAAGACUGACGCUCAGGUGCGAAAGCGUGGGGAGCAAACAGGAUUAGAUACCCUGGUAGUCCACGCCGUAAACGAUGUCGAUUUGGAGGUUGUGCCCUUGAGGCGUGGCUUCCGGAGCUAACGCGUUAAAUCGACCGCCUGGGGAGUACGGCCGCAAGGUUAAAACUCAAAUGAAUUGACGGGGGCCCGCACAAGCGGUGGAGCAUGUGGUUUAAUUCGAUGCAACGCGAAGAACCUUACCUGGUCUUGACAUCCACAGAACUUUCCAGAGAUGGAUUGGUGCCUUCGGGAACUGUGAGACAGGUGCUGCAUGGCUGUCGUCAGCUCGUGUUGUGAAAUGUUGGGUUAAGUCCCGCAACGAGCGCAACCCUUAUCCUUUGUUGCCAGCGGUCCGGCCGGGAACUCAAAGGAGACUGCCAGUGAUAAACUGGAGGAAGGUGGGGAUGACGUCAAGUCAUCAUGGCCCUUACGACCAGGGCUACACACGUGCUACAAUGGCGCAUACAAAGAGAAGCGACCUCGCGAGAGCAAGCGGACCUCAUAAAGUGCGUCGUAGUCCGGAUUGGAGUCUGCAACUCGACUCCAUGAAGUCGGAAUCGCUAGUAAUCGUAGAUCAGAAUGCUACGGUGAAUACGUUCCCGGGCCUUGUACACACCGCCCGUCACACCAUGGGAGUGGGUUGCAAAAGAAGUAGGUAGCUUAACCUUCGGGAGGGCGCUUACCACUUUGUGAUUCAUGACUGGGGUGA
rnacentral:rRNA from 1 species